rnacentral:rRNA from 1 species
UACGGAGGAUGCAAGCGUUAUCCGGAAUGAUUGGGCGUAAAGCGUCCGCAGGUGGCUAUGUAAGUCUGCUGUUAAAGAGUGAGGCUCAACCUCAUAAGAGCAGUGGAAACUACAUGGCUAGAGUGCGUUCGGGGCAGAGGGAAUUCCUGGUGUAUCGGUGAAAUGCGUAGAGAUCAGGAAGAACACCGGUGGCGAAAGCGCUCUGCUAGGCCGCAACUGACACUCAUGGACGAAAGCUAGGGGAGCGAAUGGG